UCGCGGCCUAUCAGCUUGUUGGUGAGGUAAAGGCUCACCAAGGCGACGACGGGUAGCCGGCCUGAGAGGGUGACCGGCCACACUGGGACUGAGACACGGCCCAGACUCCUACGGGAGGCAGCAGUGGGGAAUAUUGCACAAUGGGCGCAAGCCUGAUGCAGCAACGCCGCGUGUGGGACGACGGCCUUCGGGUUGUAAACCUCUUUUAGUAGGGAAGAAGCGAAAGUGACGGUACCUGCAGAAAAAGCACCGGCUAACUACGUGCCAGCAGCCGCGGUAAUACGUAGGGUGCAAGCGUUGUCCGGAAUUAUUGGGCGUAAAGAGCUCGUAGGCGGUUUGUCGCGUCUGCUGUGAAAUCCCGAGGCUCAACCUCGGGCCUGCAGUGGGUACGGGCAAACUAGAGUGUGGUAGGGGAGAUUGGAACUCCUGGUGUAGCGGUGGAAUGCGCAGAUAUCAGGAAGAACACCGAUGGCGAAGGCAGAUCUCUGGGCCAUUACUGACGCUGAGGAGCGAAAGCGUGGGGAGCGAACAGGAUUAGAUACCCUGGUAGUCCACGCCGUAAACGUUGGGAACUAGAUGUAGGGUCCAUUCCACGGAUUCUGUGUCGCAGCUAACGCAUUAAGUUCCCCGCCUGGGGAGUACGG
rnacentral:rRNA from 1 species